AUUGAACGCUGGCGGCAUGCUUUACACGUGCAAGUCGAACGGCAGCACGGGUGCUUGCACCUGGUGGCGAGUGGCGGACGGGUGAGUAAUACAUCGGAACGUGUCCUGAAGUGGGGGAUAACGCAUCGAAAGAUGUGCUAAUACCGCAUAUACUCUGAGGAGUAAAGUAGGGGAUCGAAAGACCUUAUGCUUUUGGAGCGGCCGAUGUCUGAUUAGCUAGUUGGUGGGGUAAUUGCCCACCAAGGCGACGAUCAGUAGUUGGUCUGAGAGGAUGAUCAGCCACACUGGGACUGAGACACGGCCCAGACUCCUACGGGAGGCAGCAGUGGGGAAUAUUGGACAAUGGGCGCAAGCCUGAUCUAGCAAUGCCGCGUGAGUGAUGAAGGCCUCGGUUGUAAGACUCUUCGUCCCACGACGACUGAUGACGGUAGUGGGAGGAA
rnacentral:rRNA from 1 species